CCCCCCCCCCCCCCACCCCGCCACUCCCAGUUGGUGGGUUUAUAUGUAGGCCUACACUUGAACUGCAACUGCUGUCGCAAAGUGGCACAACUGCUGUCGCAGUGACACAAUGGGAUGUCACAUAUAUAUGUACCUGCUGUCACUUUGUUCUAAACCUGUAACUUCUGGUAUCAGCUGUGCUGACUGCCCCCAUGCGUACAUGACCGCUCCCCCCCCCCCCCA